rnacentral:rRNA from 1 species
GUUAUACCGUUUAGUGGAUAACUUGGCUCAAGUUCCGAUGAAGAGCGUGGCAAGCUGCGAAAAGCCCAGGGGAGACGCAUGCAGUCUACGAGCCUGGGAUUCUUGAAUCAGUCCGAAAGGACAGGGAACGCGGUGAAUUGAAUCAUCUUAGUAACCGCAGGAAAAGAAACCAAUUGGGAUGCCGUUAGUAGGGGCGACCGAAAACGGCUGAGGACAAACCGAAUCCGGUGUGGUAACACAUCGGGGAUGUGGGGUGUUUCGGCCUGGUUACAACCAAGCAAUCGAGCAGAAGUCUCUUGGAAAAGAGUACCAUAGAGAGUGAUAGUCUCGUAUGCGUAGAGCGCAAGGUUGAUUGUCAGGUACCGAGAGUAGGGUGCGUCGGAUGUCGCGCCUAAAAACGCGGGCCAUUAACCCGCAAUCCUAAACAUUAACUUGAGACCGAUAGCGUACUAGUACCGUGAGGGAAAGUUGAAAAGUACCCUUGACAGGGGUUGAAAAGCACUUGAAACUAAACGGUUACAAUUUAGUCAGGGCAUGAAAGAAUCGAUGUUUGCAAAAGGAAGCAGUCGCAAGGCUGUUGUACGAUGCGAACGGAUCAGUGUCCUGUCGUCCGUCUUGAAUCACGGACUGGGGAGUUGCCUGUUGUGGCAAGGCUAAUGGCGUCAGGCCGGGAGCCGAAGCGAAAGCGAAGUCGCGCAACUCCGCAAGGGGCGAGGCGAAACGUAUGAAAAUGCGUGAUAGUCACAGCAGACAGACCUGAAACCCGUUGCGAGCUAUUCCUGAGUAAGGUGAAGCCUUUCUUCCGAAGGGCGGAGGCCUUAACCAGUUCUAGUCUAACUGUUUGGGUAACUUGGGAAUAGAGGUAAUAGGCUAUUCGAGCCGGGUGAUAGCAGGUUCCUCCAGAACGAUCUCUUAGGAUCGCCUCGUUCGAGCCUGUGCAUGGUGUCGAGAUACUGAUUAGGGAGUAAGGGGCCGAGAGGCUUCGCUUUUUUGUCAAACUCCAAAGCUAUGCACGGCGUAGACAACGGGAGUCGGGGCAGUCGGGUAAGCUGAUUGUCCGAGAGGGGAAAAACCCAGACGCGGGUUAAGGCCCAUAAAUGCCGGUUAAGUGUGAAUAAUCGAAAACAGUCAUUUUUCGAAAACAGUGGGGAGGUUGGCUUAGAAGCAGCUAUCCUUUAAAGAAUGCGUAACAGCUCACCCACCUAGAAAAAUGGCGUUGAAAAUUAACUGGGCUCAAACCGGCUGCCGAAACCCGUGGCCACGCAUGCAAGUGCGUGAUGCAGUAUGGAGGUGUUCGGAUGGAGAGAAAGCAAGGGCGAGAGUUCUUGUGAAUCCGUCUGAAAUAUGGAUCCCAGUGCUAGUAGCAACAAAGAAAGAUGAGAAUUCUUUCCGCCGAAAGAGCAAGGGUUCCUUAGCGCUAAUCAUUAGCUAAGGGUUAGUCGGUCCUAACUGCUACCGUAAUGCGGUAAUGCAGGAAAGGGAAACACGUUCAUAUUCGUGUACCGUACAACUACGUUUUUGGCAACAAAGGCCUGCUUUUCGACGCUUUGAGCUAGGGAUUGUACGCUCGUCUGCGUAUUUAAGCGUUAUAAAUCCAUGGAGAACCGUAAAGGUGAGAAGUGGAUUAAAGACGCGAACAGCCGCAAGGUUUUCCUAAUGCCCGGAGCCCAUGAAAAGAAAAGCAGGAAGGAUGUUGUACGACCGUACCGAGAACUGAGAAAGGUGCUCAGGCUGAAAAGGCCAAGGCGUAUCAGGAUCAACCAGGUUAUGGGAACUCGGCAAAUUAGCCCUGUAUCUUAGGUAUAAGGGGUGCCAGCAUUUGAAUAAAGUGCUGGUUGCAAUCACGCGAGGAGUCCGACUGUUUAGCAAAAACACAGCUGACCGCAAGUCCGUAAGGAUGAGUAUGGUCAGUGACUUCUGCUCACUGCCAGUACGUUAAAACCCGUUCCAACGGGUCUAAGCGCUGGUGAAGAGCGGGCCUAACUCUGAGGCUCUUAUGGUAGCGUAAUACCUUGUCGUUUUAUUGGCGACUUGCACCAAGGAAGUAACGAGAUUCCUACUGUCCCUAACCUGGGCCUGGCGAACUCACUAUGUGGUGAAUAUGCCACAAACUCCCGAUGGGAAGAGAAGACCCCACGGAGGUUUACUACAUUCUGAUGUUGUGGUGUGGUUUUUGUUGCAUAGCGUAGCUGGGAGCGUCGAACCCACCCUUGCGGGGGUGGGGAAUGCGAAAAUGUAACACCAGCCUACAAAAAGCACACUGCUUACCGGCCGUACGGCCGGAACACCAUUAGAUGGGUAGUUAGACUGGGGCGGUACACCCCUGAAAAGAUAUCAGGGGUGCCCAAAGGUCUGCUCAGGCGAGUCAGAAAUUCGCCGUAGAGUGCAAGAGCAAAAGCAGGCUUGACCAUCAUCCUAAAAGCACGGAUCGUGGAAAGGAAACUUGGGUCUAGCGAACAUCAGUGUCCUCAUUAAUGGGGGCCUGGUCUGACAGUGAACUUACCCUGGGGGUAACUGAGUGGUCGUGGGUGAGAGUCCACAUCGACCCCACGGAUUGCGACCUCGCCGUCGGCUCUUGGCAUCCUGGCUGUGCAUAAGCAGCCAAGGGUGGAGGUGUUAACUCAUUAAAGCCGAUCGUUAGUUGGGUUAAGAACGGUGCGAGCCAGUUUGGUUACUAUCUAUCGGGAGUGCGGAUUGUCUGAGGGAAAGAUCCAUCUAGUACGAGAGGAACAGUGGGUCGUCGCCUCUGGUGGACCAGUUGUCUGACAAGGCAUCGCUGGGUAGCUACGCGGUAAACGAUAAAAGCUGAAAGCAUCUAAGCUUGAAGCGUUCCCCGAAACUAGACAAUCAUUUCUGAAACCAAUUCUUCUGCGGAAGGAUUGCUGUAGGAACGAGAGUGCCGCCUAAAAUAGCGGUUUGAUAGGCAGCGGAUGUACGCCAAAAGCUUCGGCGAUUGGUUCAGUCCAGCUGUACUAAUAACUCAAGGGAGCUUG